GAACAUUUGGCCCACCUCUCCACACAAAUGGCUUUUGGAAAUAUGCCGAGAUAGGUAAAUUUAAGAGUUUCAAUUAGGUAGCUAUAAGAAGCUUUAAACAGCGAGAACAAGUCGAGAAGAAAGUUUGCAUGAUGAUAGCCUUACAUGGUAUAGUGGCAUCCCGUUUGGACCACAACCUGGACGGACAAUUUCAUUUUGCGGGAAAAAAAGGGAACACUAAUAGAGGGCAAAAUGCCUAGCACUCACAUGUACUACCCAGCAAAACAAUUGAGCAUUUGGCCAUGUCGUAGGAAAAAUACUUCAUUACACUUUAGCACAAGCUGAUCAACAAACUCCAUUUGUUGACAAGGCUAUGCAACCAGAAGAGAAUUCGACUUUAGGACAUUACCACGAAACCAUUGGAACACUACACAACCACAACACAUAGACACUUUCUUUUCUUCUGAUAAUAACCUGAGUCUUUUGUUGGCUAAACACUCUCUAAUAGCAAUACCUAUAUUUGGCCACGCAACAAAAUUUUCAUUUUA
rnacentral:misc_RNA from 1 species